rnacentral:rRNA from 1 species
AACGAACGCUGGCGGCAUGCCUAACACAUGCAAGUCGAACGGGACCUUCGGGUCUAGUGGCGCACGGGUGCGUAACGCGUGGGAACCUGCCCUUAGGUUCGGAAUAACUCCCCGAAAGGGGUGCUAAUACCGGAUAAUGUCUUCGGACCAAAGAUUUAUCGCCUUUGGAUGGGCCCGCGUUGGAUUAGCUAGUUGGUAGGGUAAAAGCCUACCAAGGCGACGAUCCAUAACUGGUCUGAGAGGAUGAUCAGCCACACUGGGACUGAGACACGGCCCAGACUCCUACGGGAGGCAGCAGUGGGGAAUAUUGGACAAUGGGCGAAAGCCUGAUCCAGCAAUGCCGCGUGAGUGAUGAAGGCCUUAGGGUUGUAAAGCUCUUUUACCCGGGAUGAUAAUGACAGUACCGGGAGAAUAAGCUCCGGCUAACUCCGUG